rnacentral:lncRNA from 1 species
GUGUUCUCAUAUUGGUUUGGAUUCAAAGGCAUUACGCCCAGAAUAACGUGUGACGGCUUUUCUUAAGAGUAUGUCUGAUAUAAGGAACUUUGUUUGAAAUAACUAUUCUUUUUUCAUACUUAGUUUUUGAAAAUUGUUUCGCAAACGUAAUCAUUUUGUCCCCGAACCCAGAUGCUCCCAAAAGGAAAAAUACAAUGCUUGUGUCAAAAAAAAUGUGUAACAUGGUUAGUGUGGCACACUACGGUCCUCAAACUUGUGUUGUGAUCUCGAGAGACCAAAAAUAGGCCAGGCCUGGUUGGACUGAGUCAAGCCCAAGCCUGGUUCAACACGGUUUUGAGGGCCCAGGAUGGACCCUGGAGGCAUUUUC